UACGGGGGGGGCAAGCGUUGUUCGGAUUUAUUGGGCGUAAAGAGCGUGUAGGCGGCCUGACAGGUCUGCUGUGAAAACUCGAGGCUCAACCUCGAGAUGUCGGCGGAAACCGUCUGGCUAGAGUCCGGAAGAGGAGAGUGGAAUUCCUGGUGUAGCGGUGAAAUGCGCAGAUAUCAGGAAGAACACCUAUGGCGAAGGCAGCUCUCUGGGACGGUACUGACGCUGAGACGCGAAAGCGUGGGGAGCGAACAGG
rnacentral:rRNA from 1 species